rnacentral:rRNA from 1 species
UACGUAGGGGGCAAGCGUUGUUCGGAAUUAUUGGGCGUAAAGGGCGCGUAGGCGGUCGGAUAAGUCUUGUGUGAAAUCUUCGGGCUCAACUCGAAGUCUGCACAGGAAACUAUCUGGCUUGAGUGUGGGAGAGGUGAGUGGAAUUCCUGGUGUAGCGGUGAAAUGCGUAGAUAUCAGGAGGAACACCUGUGGCGGAAGCGGCUCACUGGACCACAACUGACGCUGAGGCGCGAAAGCUAGGGGAGCAAACAGG